UUGUUUUAAUUUUUUUUUUUUUUUGGCUAGAAGUGGAUGUCUCUGACAUUUGUGAGGCCCUAGAAGAGAAUCCUAUGAAAUAAAGUGUUAAGAAUACUGGUGAAAAAAUCUAAAUUCUUUGGAUGAAAUGGAUCACAAAGGUAUUUGUUGAAUUCACAUGAUCAAGACACUGAGGACAAUGCAAAAAUGAUGAGAGAUGGUACCCAGCCUGAUGGAACUUACACUCGGUUCGGGAGAUGAAUCAUAGCCACUUGAAAAGUUAACUACAUUUCAAGGUAAUUUUGCCAUAAGUGAUGAAAGUAGCAUAAAGAAUCAG
rnacentral:lncRNA from 1 species